rnacentral:lncRNA from 1 species
ACCAAAUUACUUUUUGCUAACUUUGUUUUCUUAACUUUGUUUGCUGUUUUGUUGUUUGCUGUUUUCUUUUAUACAUGGCUUCAUAUUACAGCAGUGGUUCUUCCAAACAGCAUUCUUCUAGCAAAGCUGCUGCUCUUGAUGAAUUAAAAAAGGCAAAACGAACCAUUAAUCUCAAUGAUGAAGCUAUAAGAAAGUUGGAGGAAAGAUUACAAAGACUUGAAAUGAAGCAAGCUAGGUCCUCUCAUUCUAUUCAUGGAG